rfam:Clonorchis sinensis DNA, scaffold: 202, strain: Henan.
GAACUGGCACCAUUAGGUGCCACUCAUACAUUAAUCAAAGAUGUAU